GCAUAUCAAUAAGCGGAGGAAAAGAAACCAACAGGGAUUGCCCCAGUAACGGCGAGUGAAGCGGCAACAGCUCAAAUUUGAAAUCUGGCCCCUCGGGCCCGAGUUGUAAUUUGUAGAGGAUGCUUUUGGCAAGGUGCCGCCCGAGUUCCCUGGAACGGGACGCCGCAGAGGGUGAGAGCCCCGUCUGGCUGGCCACCGAGCCUCUGUAAAGCUCCUUCGACGAGUCGAGUAGUUUGGGAAUGCUGCUCAAAAUGGGAGGUAUAUGUCUUCUAAAGCUAAAUAUUGGCCAGAGACCGAUAGCGCACAAGUAGAGUGAUCGAAAGAUGAAAAGCACUUUGAAAAGAGGGUUAAACAGUACGUGAAAUUGUUGAAAGGGAAGCGCUCAUGACCAGACUUGGGCUUGGCGAAUCAUCCGGCGUUCUCGCCGGUGCACUUCGCCUCGCUCAGGCCAGCAUCAGUUCGCGCCGGGGGACAAAAGCUUCGGGAAUGUGGCUCCUCCGGGAGUGUUAUAGCCCGUUGCAUAAUACCCUGGUGCGGACUGAGGUUCGCGCAUCUGCAAGGAUGCUGGCGUAAUGGUCAUCAGCGACCCGUCUUGAAACACGGACCAAGGAGUCGUCUUCGUAUGCGAGUGUUCGGGUGUCAAACCCCUACGCGUAAUGAAAGUGAACGCAGGUGAGAGCUUCGGCGCAUCAUCGACCGAUCCUGAUGUUCUCGGAUGGAUUUGAGUAAGAGCAUACGGGGCCGGACCCGAAAGAAGGUGAACUAUGCCUGUAUAGGGUGAAGCCAGAGGAAACUCUGGUGGAGGCUCGCAGCGGUUCUGACGUGCAAAUCGAUCGUCAAAUAUGGGCAUGGGGGCGAAAGACUAAUCGAACCUUCUAGUAGCUGGUUUCCGCCGAAG
rnacentral:rRNA from 1 species